GAUGAACGCUGGCGGCGUGCUUAACACAUGCAAGUCGAACGGAAAGGCCCAAGCUUGCUUGGGUGCUCGAGUGGCGAACGGGUGAGUAACACGUGGGUGAUCUGCCCUGCACUUUGGGAUAAGCCUGGGAAACUGGGUCUAAUACCGGAUAGGACCAUCGUUUAGUGCCGGUGGUGGAAAGUUUUUCGGUGUGGGAUGAGCUCGCGGCCUAUCAGCUUGUUGGUGGGGUAAUGGCCUACCAAGGCGUCGACGGGUAGCCGGCCUGAGAGGGUGUACGGCCACAUUGGGACUGAGAUACGGCCCAGACUCCUACGGGAGGCAGCAGUGGGGAAUAUUGCACAAUGGGCGCAAGCCUGAUGCAGCGACGCCGCGUGGGGGAUGACGGCCUUCGGGUUGUAAACUCCUUUCGCCAAGGACGAAGCGUUUUGUGACGGUACUUGGAGAAGAAGCACCGGCUAACUACGUG
rnacentral:rRNA from 1 species